AACUGUAGAUAAUUUUGUCAUAAGAGUUCUUCGUUUCUGUGCAGAAAUCGUGCCAUUGAGAAUAGACGACUUAAUGGAGUUGUGGAGGUGUGUCAGAUGGGAUUUGUCUUCAUCACUGUGAGCUGCCCCUUUGUGCAGCUUCCUAUUGCUUAGAUCACUCCAGCUUCCAGCAAACUGAAGAAUACUCACUUUGUUCAAGCCUGUGAGUUGCAACUGACUUAAUUGCUUAGAAAAACAUCUUUACAGGACAAAGCAAAAGCAAACAAAGUGCUCCAAGAGUGCAGAAGAGUAGACUGAAAGAGAACUGGCACAGAAGCUAUCACUUUGUAAACAUGAAAAAACUUCUGGAAACACCUCUGUGGAAGACAGGAUCCAAACUCUCAUCUCCUCCCAGUGACCCUUUGUGGUGACAGUUUCAGUAUCAGCAAAUGCAGGAGCAGCUUUGGUACCAGCACUCACUGUGCUGUGCUGAAUCCUUGGGGGCCAAGCUCAAGUUACAGGGUAACGUGGAAGGUGAAGAAUGACCAGGCAGAACUCAAAUGCCAUUUUGUUAUGCUUAAUAGCUGACUCAAAACGAGCUGGCCCAUCUCUGGUGUUCACACGCAAAUGCUCUCUCUCGGGUUUUUUAAAUUGAGUCAUAAUUGCCUGUGCCAAAAGCUGUUAGUACAACAGGAUAGAAAGCAGUCAGCUCUUCUCAGUGUUAUAUAAAGU
rnacentral:lncRNA from 1 species